rnacentral:misc_RNA from 1 species
GAUGAAGAACGUAGCGAAAUGCGAUACUUGGUGUGAAUUGCAGAAUCCCGUGAACCAUCGAGUCUUUGAACGCAAGUUGCGCCCGAAGCCAUUAGGCCGAGGGCACGCCUGCCUGGGCGUCACACGUCGUUGCCCCCCCAUCUACUCCUUCGGGAUUGCGGGGGGCGGAUGAUGGCCUCCCGUGCGCCUCGUCGCGCGGUUGGCAUAAAUGCCAAGUCCUCGGCGACGCACGCCACGACAAUCGGUGGUUGCGAAACCUCGGUUGCCCGUCGUGUGCGGUCGUCGCGCAUCGAGGGCUCGAAAAAAUUGCCGGGCUCCGGCUCGGCUUUCAACCCGACCCCAGGUCAGGCGGGGUUACCCGCUGAAUUUAAGCAUAUCAAUAAGCGGAGGA